GUCCUUUAGAUUUUAAUUUAAGGUCUAACCUGCCCACUGAAUUUAAUUUGAAUGGCCGCAGUAAUUUGACUGUGCAAAGGUAGCAUAAUCAUUAGUUUUUUAAUUAAAAGCUUGUAUGAAGGGUUGGACGAGGUAAAAUCUGUCUCUAUUUAAUUUAAUUUAGAAUUUAACUUUUAAGUCAAAAGGCUUAAAUUUAAUUAAAAGACGAGAAGACCCUAUAGAUCUUUAUAAUUUAUUUAUUAAAUUUAAUUAAGAAUUUUUUAAAUUUUAUUAAUGUAAUUAUUUUAUUGGGGUAAUAUAAAGAUUAUAAAAAUUCUUUUUUUUUAUUUACAUUAAUUUAUGUUUAUAUGAUCCAGUUUUAUUGAUUAUAAGAUUAAGUUACCUUAGGGAUAACAGCGUAAUUUUUUUAGAGAGUUYUUAUCGAUAAAAAAGUUUGCGACCUCGAUGUUGGAUUAAAGAUUAUUUUAGGUGUAGAAGCUUAAAAAUUUGGUCUGUUCGACCAUUAAAUCUUUACAUGAUCUGAGUUCAGACCGGCGUAAGCCAGGUCGGUUUCUAUCUUUAGUUAAUUAAAAUAUUUUAGUACGAAAGGACCAAUUAUUUAAUAUAUAUAUAUUUAAUUUUUUGAUUAUUAUUAA
rnacentral:rRNA from 1 species